GCGGACGUAGCUCAGCUGGUAGAGCGCCAGGUUGUGGUCUUGGAUGUCGUGGGUUCGAGCCCCAUCGUUCGCCCCA
rnacentral:tRNA from 3 species